rnacentral:lncRNA from 1 species
AAAGUGGAAGAGCACGUCGUCGAAGGGCAUAUUUUCGAGGUCGAGAGAUCAUACGAAAUGGUGUCCCCAGUGCGACACAAAACCUGUUAUGGAAUGAAAGGGCUAUACGAAGGGAAAGAGAGAAGAAACUAAAAGAAUUCAAGUCUUUUAAGAUGUCACCUAACAUUAGUGUUGCUAGUUUUAUACAUCUGUUUGAGAUGAAACGUGUAGAACUAGAAAACUAUGU